UACGAAGGGGGCUAGCGUUGCUCGGAAUCACUGGGCGUAAAGGGUGCGUAGGCGGGUCUUUAAGUCAGGGGUGAAAUCCUGGGAGCUCAACUCCCAGAACUGCCUUUGAUACUGAGGAUCUUGAGUUCGGGAGAGGUGAGUGGAACUGCGAGUGUAGAGGUGAAAUUCGUAGAUAUUCGCAAGAACACCAGUGGCGAAGGCGGCUCACUGGCCCGAUACUGACGCUGAGGCACGAAAGCGUGGGGAGC
rnacentral:rRNA from 1 species